rnacentral:lncRNA from 1 species
GGGCGGCCUGCCUCGCCCUGCCUCCUCUCUUCCUCCUCCUUUCUUCUUCCUCCUCCCCUUCCUCCUCCUUCUUCUUCCUCUUCCUCUUCCUCUCUCCUCUCUCUCUCUUUUCCUCUCCCCGCCACUCUCGCACUCCCCAUCCUCCUCUCUCCCCUCCCUUCGCAGAGCCACAGGAAAAGAGGAAAGUCGGCUUCGACUGCCAUCUUUUGGGGAUUUGGAAAAACGACUCGGUAGUGCUGUCCUCAGUCUCUGGGGGCAUACUUCUUUCCCGAUCUGGCACAAACGACCCCUCAGGGCUUAAAGACUUGCGAAUGAUGGAUGAUCAAGCUCUGGACCCAUGUUGAAAGCAGACUUCUGUGCGAGAAAACAGAGGAAAAAUUUCUUAUCACUCUGAUUGAGG